rnacentral:rRNA from 1 species
UGACUGUAGCAAUACAGUUGAUGGCGACCGGCAAACGGGUGCGGAACACGUACACAACCUUCCUUUAAGUGGGGAAUAGCCCAGAGAAAUUUGGAUUAAUACCCCGUAAUAUUAUGAAGUGGCAUCACUUUAUAAUUAUAGCUCAGGCGCUUGAAGAUGGGUGUGCGGCUGAUUAGGUAGUUGGCGGGGUAACGGCCCACCAAGCCUACGAUCAGUAACUGGUGUGAGAGCACGACCAGUCACACGGGCACUGAGACACGGGCCCGACUCCUACGGGAGGCAGCAGUAAGGAAUAUUGGUCAAUGGACGCAAGUCUGAACCAGCCAUGCCGCGUGGAGGAUGAAGGUCCUCUGGAUUGUAAACUUCUUUUAUAUGGGACGAAAAAGGGUCUUUCUAGAUCAACUGACGGUACCAUAUGAAUAAGCACCGGCUAACUCCGUGCCAGCAGCCGCGGUAAUACGGAGGGUGCAAGCGUUAUCCGGAUUCACUGGGUUUAAAGGGUGCGUAGGUGGGUUGGUAAGUCAGUGGUGAAAUCUCCGAGCUUAACUUGGAAACUGCCAUUGAUACUAUCAGUCUUGAAUACCGUGGAGGUUAGCGGAAUAUGUCAUGUAGCGGUGAAAUGCUUAGAUAUGACAUAGAACACCAAUUGCGAAGGCAGCUGGCUACACGAAUAUUGACACUGAGGCACGAAAGCGUGGGGAUCAAACAGGAUUAGAUACCCUGGUAGUCCACGCCCUAAACUAUGGAUACUCGACAUACGCGAUACACUGUGUGUGUCUGAGCGAAAGCAUUAAGUAUCCCACCUGGGAAGUACGAUCGC